AAGACCUUGCACUUUUGGAGCGGCCGAUGUCUGAUUAGCUAGUUGGUGGGGUAAUGGCCUACCAAAGCUUCGAUCAGUAGCUGGUCUGAGAGGACGGCCAGCCACACUGGGACUGAGACACGGCCCAGACUCCUACGGGAGGCAGCAGUGGGGAAUUUUGGACAAUGGGCGCAAGCCUGAUCCAGCCAUGCCGCGUGAGUGAAGAAGGCCUUCGGGUUGUAAAGCCCUUUCGGCCGGGAAGAAAAGGUUGCGACUAAUAAUCGCAAUCCAUGACGGUACCGGAAGAAGAAGCACCGGCUAACUACGCGCCAGCAGCCGCGGUAAUACGUAGGGUGCGAGCGUUAAUCGGAAUUACUGGGCGUAAAGGGUGCGCAGGCGGUUUUGUAAGUCAGAUGUGAAAUCCCCGGGCUUAACCUGGGAACU
rnacentral:rRNA from 1 species